ensembl:snRNA U6 U6 spliceosomal RNA
GUGCUUGCUUCAACAGCAUAUAUACUAAAAUUGGAACGAUCCAGAAAAGAUUAGCAUGGCUCAUGCACAAGGAUGAUAUGCAAACUUGUGAAAUGCUCCAUAUAAAA